UACAGAGGUCUCAAGCGUUGUUCGGAUUCAUUGGGCGUAAAGGGCGCGUAGGCGGCGGUGUAAGUCUGGUGUGAAAUCUAGGAGCUCAACUCCUAAACUGCACUGGAUACUGCUCUGCUAGAGGACUGGAGAGGAGACUGGAAUUCACGGUGUAGCAGUGAAAUGCGUAGAUAUCGUGAGGAAGACCAGUGGCGAAGGCGGGUCUCUGGACAGUUCCUGACGCUGAGGCGCGAAGGCCAGGGGAGCAAACGGG
rnacentral:rRNA from 1 species